UUUACCCAUUCAGACCUCUGGUCAUCUGCCCUGUCAAAGACCUGGCUGGGAAAUGUUACUGUACAGGUACUGUGUGUCUACGUAUGUUUGUUUUUGCUCUUUUACUUAACAUUGUGUGUUGUGCUAUUUGUUUUUUUACAGUGAAGCUGUGUGGCUCCAGUUUUCUUCUGCAAGCCUAUUUGUCUGACAUUGGAUCGUGGAGGACAGUGUGCUCAGAUGGAUGGGCAGAUCACCAUGGGAAGGCAGCCUAACAGCGUUUAGGAUACAGCAGGUGAGACACAUACUGUAUCUAGAUUGAGAUUUAUUUUGUUUUUAUAUUUAUGCCCAUUGGUAUAGUAUAGAGAAUUGAAUCUUCCCCAUAUGCAUUGUGAGAUAGUCAAGCUAGCGUAAACGUGAAUGUAAAACAGUGAGCAUGUGUUAUGGUAAUUUAUUUAAUUUGUUUGCUAUGGGUUCACAGAGACACAUAUGUUAAAUCUGGCCAACAAAAGACAAAUGCCAGUGGAUUCUUAAUGCUGAAGUCUGGGUCAAGCCCUGACACACCCAUAAUGCAACAGCUUGAGCGUCAGUGAAAGAAAUGUGAGCCAAUCGCAUUUCAUAUCAUACCAUUUCCCAACGGUAUGUUAAACUCUUGAUAACACCAUCUGUAUUUUUGUGAUUCCUUUUACUCUCCUCGGCGAAACCUGUUCCAGUGUUCAUGGGGUGACCCUGAAGUGCAUAGGUAAGUCAUUAUGUAACUUUCUCAGUAAUUAGGUAUAGAGCAACUUCAUGUAAAGUGUUACCACCUGAUUAACCUCUGGCUCCAGACUGUGGUACCAGAGUAGUCUCCAAUUUGAGUCGUGUAGUGGGGGGCCAGGAGGCUAGUUUGGGGGCCUUGCCAUGGCAGGUCAGCCUCCAGGUCUUUCACGUCUGCAGCGGUUCCAUCAUCACCCCAUACUGGAUAGUGAUGGGAGCACACUGCGUAGUGGAGUAAGUCCAUAGACAUACAUACUGUACAGUAUGUGCACUAUAUUAUUGAAAUAUACACUACCAGUCAAAAGUUUUAGAACACGCCCAUUUUUCCAGUUUUUGAAACAUAAGCAAUUCAUGUCCAGUGAAUAACCUGAAAUGGUACAAAGGUAAGAAGUAAACUGCCAGAGGUAAAAAAAAAUGUUUUACAAAUAGUUUAGGUUACCAAAAAACUGAAAAAUAAUGUACAUUUCAGUGUUAUAAGAAAAGGCCUUUUUCAGGGAACAAGUAAUGGGUUAACAACAUACAGCUGUUCUGGAGCAAUGGAAGUAAAUUAAGCCUUGAAAGUUGAUGCUAACGUUUCCUACAGGUGUCCCACAUUUUGUUGAUUACUUACCAACACUCUGUCUGUAUAAAAGCAGUGUUGGAACAGACUGUGUUACUACACACUUUUAAGCAUUAUUUGGACAGUAUUGUACUGCAAGAAGUAGUAUAUUGCUAUCAUAAUGGUGAGGAAAAAUGCAAUUAACAAACAAAGACAGACACCAUUAUAACCCUUAAAAGUGUAGGUCUUUUCUUUAGAGAAAUUGCAAAGAAAGCCAAGGUGUCAGUGAGUAGUUUCCUACACCAUCAAAAGGCACUUGGAAACUCUGACCGGAAGAGGUCUGGCAGACCCAAAGCCACAACAGAAUCAGAAGACAAGUUUCUGAGAGUCAACAGCUUGCGUGAUAGGCGGCUCACAGGACAACAGCUUCAAGCACAGCUUAACACUGGUCGAAGUAAGCAAGUCUGUUUCAAAUGUGAAGAGAAGACUUCGAGCUGCAGGUUUGACAGGUCGAGUGGCAGUAAGAAAGCCAUUGCUAAGAUGGCAAAAUAAGAAAAAGAGGCUUCCCAGGGCCAUGAAGCACUGCCAGUGGACUACUGAAGACUGGAAGGUCUUAUGGACCGAUGAAUCAACAUUUGACGCAGGGUUUUUGUGCGCCAUUCAGUAGGUGAAAGGAUGGUUCCACAGUGUGUGACACCAUCUGUCAAACAUGGAGGAGGAAGCGUGAUGGUCUGGGGCUCUUUUGCUGAAUUCAGAGACGGCGACUUGCAAAGAGUGAGUGCCACCCUGAACCAAAACGGCUACCACAGCAUUUUGCAGCACCUUGCAAUACCUUCUGGUGUACGCCUAGUUGGUCAGGCGUUCAUCCUACAGCAAGGUAAUGACCCAGAACAUACCUCCAGGCUAUGGGGUUCAUCCUACAGCAAGAUAAUGACCCAGAACAUACCUCCAGGCUAUGGGGUUCAUCCUACAGCAAGAUAAUGACCCAGAACAUACCUCCAGGCUAUGGGGUUCAUCCUACAGCAAUAUAAUGACCCAGAACAUACCUCCAAGCUAUGGGGUUCAUCCUACAGCAAGAUAAUGACCCAGCACAUACUUCCAGGCUAUGGGGUUCAUCCUACAGCAAGAUAACAACCCAGAACAUACCUCCAGGCUAUGGGGUUCAUCCUACAGCAAGAUAAUGACCCGUAACAUACCUCCAGGCUUUGGGGUUCAUCCUACAGCAAGAUAAUGACCCAAAACAAACCUCCAAGCUAUGGGGUUCAUCCUACAGCAAGAUAAUGACCCAGAACAUACCUCCAAGCUAUGGGGUUCAUCCUACAGCAAGAUAAUGACCCAGAACAUACCUCCAAGCUAUGGGGUUCAUCCUACAGCAAGAUAAUGACCCAGAACAUACCUCCAAGCUAUGGGGUUCAUCCUACAGCAAUAUAAUGACCCAGAACAUACCUCCAAGCUAUGGGGUUCAUCCUACAGCAAGAUAAUGACCCAAAACAAACCUCCAAGCUAUGGGGUUCAUCCUACAGCAAGAUAAUGACCCAGAACAUACCUCCAGGCUAUGGGGUUCAUCCUACAGCAAGAUAAUGACCCAAAACAAACCUCCAAGCUAUGGGGUUCAUCCUACAGCAAGAUAAUGACCCAAAACAUACCUCCAGGCUAUGGGGUUCAUCCUACAGCAAGAUAAUGACCCAAAACAAACCUCCAAGCUAUGGGGUUCAUCCUACAGCAAGAUAAUGACCCAAAACAAACCUCCAAGCUAUGGGGUUCAUCCUACAGCAAGAUAAUGACCCAGAACAAACCUCCAGGCUAUGGGGUUCAUCCUACAGCAAGAUAAUGACCCAAAACAAACCUCCAGGAUAUGUCAGAACUACCUUAGAAGAAAAGAACAAGACGGUAGGCUUCAAAUCGUGGAAUGGCCAGCACAGUCUCCAGACUUACCCCCAUUGAGCUGGUUUGGGAUGAAUGGGGCAGAAUGGUGAAAGCAAAGCAACCUACAAGUGCAACACAUUUGUUGGGAAGAACUUUCCGAACAAUAUUUGAUUUCCAUUGUAGAAAGAAUGCCACGACUGUGUUCGGCUGUUAUGUCUGCAAAAGAUGGCUACUUUGAGUCAAAAAUGUAGGUUCAAUUUUGUUAAACAAAGCAUUCCAUGAUUUAUUUUGUCUCCAAUUGUUUAUUUGUUUUAUGCUUUACUUUGAGUACAUUAAGACAUUAAACUGUGUGAAUUUCACUCCCAUUUUUUCAAUUUUUUAUUGUUCUAAAACUUUUGACCGGUGGUGUAUAUCAUUGGGUAUGUCCAGCACAGUCCACUUCUGAGCGUAUUCUUUUGAAUCUGUGGCAUCCCGGUUAAAUUGACUAAUUCAGUUGUCUUUAAUUUCAGUCGCUCUUAUCCUGAAGACUGGACAGUACAUGCAGGAUUUGGGAAUCAAAUAUCUACACACUUCAGCCGUGGCCUUUCUUCAGUGAGCCACAUUGUCAACCAUGAUUACAACACAGAGACGGGGAAUAAUGACAACGCCCCCAUUAGACUCAUUAAACCAUUGCAGAUUAAUGAUCAAAUAAGGCCUGUGUGUUUUGCCCAAUGUUGGGCAGGACUUCACUGCUCCCCAGACAUUCUGGAUUUCAGGGUUUGGCAGGACAGUUUCUCGUGGCUCAGGCUCCAGCUCUUUGAUGGAAGCUGAGGUGUCACUGAUAGACAGGACCAUCUCUAACAGCUCCUCUGUCUUCAAUGGGAAGAUCACACAGGAUAUGAAAUGUGCCGGCAGGCUGGAGGUAGGAGUGGACUCAUGCCAGGUAAAAGAUAACUGACCCCUCUGCCUCAUAGGUCCCCAUUAGCCUGGGUACCAGACCUGGUUGUGCAGUCAUUCCACUCCUUGCCCUCCUUGUCAUAUGCCAGGAGUGGAAUGAUGGAACAAACAGGUCUGGUACCCAGGAUAGGUCCCUAUGUCCAGAGUUUUUACUGGUCCGAUUAAGGGUUUUUAGAAAAACUUAGAGCCCCACUCAAAUUCUGUUUACUCUGAAUGACAAAAUAUAUUUGAAGGUUAAGAAAAAUAAAGACAAUUGAUGAUCUAUUAUAUCAUGAAAGUAUCAGGAGCCUAAAUCAUGUUUGAUUUGAUCACUUGCUCUGUUCAUUCAUGGUGUCAUUCUGAUUUCAGAACAUCUUGACUUAUAAACAAGAUGUUUGAAGACAGUUGGAUAAGGCUUUCACACUGCCACAGCAAUGUACCUCUGUUCUGUUUCUAUAAAAGUCAAACAAGACUAUCAUACCAGUGGAAUCAUACAAUUCCACUUAUCCUGUACAAACAUAGCAGUGACAUCAAGGGUGUUCCUACGCUUUGAACAGAUCAUACAGAGGGUUUUCAUGCCUUUAUGUAACAUGCUCUCUGACCUUGGUCAAACAAAACCUCCAUUAUAUACUGUGCCUUUAGCUUUUGUUACUUCUAGGUUAGACCACUGCAAUGCUUUACUUUCCGGCUACCCGGAUAAAGCACUAAAUAAACUUCAGUUAGUGCUAAAUACGGCUCCUACCUAUCUUUCCGAGUUGGUCUGCCGUACAUACUUACACGUACGCUACGGUCACAAGACGCAGGCCUCCUAAUUGUCCCUAGAAUUUCUAAGCAAACAGCUGGAGGCAGGGCUUUCUCCUAUAGAUCUCCAUUUUUAUGGAAUGGUCUGCCUACCCAUGUGAGAGACGCAGACUCGGUCUCAACCUUUAAGUCUUUACUGAAGACUUCAUCUCUUCAGUAGGUCAUAUGAUUGAGUGUAGUCUGGCCCAGGAGUGUGAAGGUGAACGGAAAGGCUCUGGAGCAACGAACCGCCCUUGCUGUCUCUGCCUGGCCGGUUUCCCUCUCUCCACUGGGAUUCUCUGCCUUUAACCCUAUUACAGGGGCUGAGUCACUGGCUUACUGGUGCUCUUUCAUGCCGUCCCUAGGAGGGGUGCAUCACUUGAGUGGGUUGAGUUACUGACGUGAUCUUCCUGUCUGGGUUGGCGCCCCCCCUUGGUUUGUGCUGUGGUGGAGAUCUUUGUGGGCUAUACUCGGCCUUGUCUCAGGAUUGUAAGUUGGUGGUUGAAGAUAUCCCUCUAGUGGUGCGGGGGCUGUGCUUUGGCAAAGUGGGUGGGGUUAUAUCCAUCAUCGGAUGGGGCCACAGUGUCUCCUGACCCCUCCUGUCUCAGCCUCCAGUAUUUAUGCUGCAGUAGUUUGUGUCGGGGGGCUAGGGUCAGUUGGUUAUAUCUAGAGUACUUCUCUUAUCCGGUGUCCUGUGUGAAUUUAAAUAUGCUCUCUCUAAUUCUCUCCUUCUCUCUUUCUUUCUCUCUCUCGGAGGACCUGAGCCCUAGGACCAUGCGUCAGGACUACCGGGCAUGAUGACUCCUUGCUGUCCCCAGUCCACCUGGCCUUGCUACUGUUCUGCCUGCGGCUAUGGAACCCUGACCUGUCCACCGGACGUGCUACCUGUCCCAGACCUGCUGUUUUCAACUCUCUAGAGACCGCAGGAGCGGUAGAGAUACUCUUAAUGAUCGGCUAUGAAAAGCCAACUGACAUUUACUCCUGAGGUGCUGCACCCUCGAUAACUAUUGUGAUUAUUAUUAUUUGACCAUGCUGGUCAUUUAUGAACAUUUGAACUUUGCCAAGUUCUGUUAUAAUCUCCACCCGGCACAGCCAGAAGAGGACUGGCCACCCCUCAUAGCCUGGUUCCUCUCUAGGUUUCUUCCUAGGUUUUGGCCUUUCUAGGGAGUUUUUCCUAGCCACCGUGCUUCUACACCUGCAUUGCUUGCUGUUUGGGGUUUUAGGCUGGGUUUCUGUACAGCACUUCGAGAUAUUAGCUGAUGUACGAAAGGCUAUAUAACAUAAACUUGAUUUGAUUUAAGUGGGUGAGUGUUGUGCAUGUCCACUAGCACAUUAUGUGAUAAAGUGGCCUGUAAUACAUCAAUACUGCUUAUUCAGUUACAGAACAACAAGCUCAAUGAAACUGCAGUUAAUAGCAUAUAAAUAGAAGAAACCCUCUAAGACUCUUGGAUUGUGUAUUGCACCAUUCCUUAAAUGUGGCAUGGACUCUAUCUCCAAGGGAUACAGUGGUGGCCCGCUUGUGACAGAGAAGGACUCAGUAUGGUGGCUGGUAGGGGACACAAGCUGGGGAGAUGUCUGUGCCCAGAGGAACAAACCAGGCGUCUAUGGAAACGUCGCCUUCUUCCUAGGCUGGAUCUAUGAACAAAUGCAGGUAUAAGAAACCAUUAAAUCCAUUGUUGUGAUUUACAUGCAUACACUUUUUAAUAAUGGGAAGUUGUAACUAUGGUGUGUUUGGUUUUGCAGAAAUAAAGAUAAACUGAGAAAUUACUGGUGGACAUUCAGGAUGAAAUGGUGGAAACAUUGUAUUUUUUUCUGAAUAGAAAAGCCAGAAAGAGAUGUUUGUCUACUUUUUGUAUGUACAGUGUGUCAUCAGAAAUUCCGACGCUAUGUGCUACAUAUUGAAUUUGUAUGUAUUAAUUGAAUCAUUAAAUUACUACU